GCUGGUUUUCUGCGAAAGUUGUUUUAGCAAAAUGUUUAUGGGAACUAUUAGUAGGUAUAGCACUGAAUAUCAAAGAAGAGGGAGUAUGAGAAUACUUAUCUCGGAUAUUUAAUCUCAGAAUGACUAAUAUGGGGAAAUAAACAAUCGGACUACUUGCGAGAAGGUAGGUAGUCAAAAGGGAAACAGCCCAGAACAGUGAUGAAAGCUCCCCAAUUAAUAUUAAGUGAGAAUUCCCA
rnacentral:rRNA from 1 species